rnacentral:rRNA from 1 species
ACGGCGAGUGAAGCGGUAACAGCUCAAAUUUGAAAUCUGGCUCCCUCGGAGUCCGAGUUGUAAUUUGUAGAAGAUGCUUUGGGCUGUGGGUUCGGCCUAAGAUCCUUGGAACAGGACGUCAUAGAGGGUGAGAAUCCCGUAUGUGGCCCGAGGCCUGCGCCCGUGUAAAGCUCUUUCGACGAGUCGAGUUGUUUGGGAAUGCAGCUCAAAAUGGGUGGUAAAUUUCAUCUAAAGCUAAAUAUGGGCCAGAGACCGAUAGCGCACAAGUAGAGUGAUCGAAAGAUGAAAAGCACUUUGGAAAGAGAGUUAAACAGUACGUGAAAUUGUUGAAAGGGAAGCGCUUGCACCCAGACUUGGGCGCUGCUGAUCAUCCAGAGUUCUCUCUGGUGCACUCGACAGCGCACAGGCCAGCAUCGGUUCGGGUGGCUGGAGAAAGACUGGAGGAACGUAGCUCCCUUUCGGGGGAGUGUUAUAGCCUCUGGUGCCAUGCAGCCCAGCCGGACCGAGGACCGCGCCUUCGGGCUAGGAUGCUGGCGUAAUGGGUGU